rnacentral:rRNA from 1 species
CCCUUAGAUGUUCUGGGCCGCACGCGCGCUACACUGAUGCAUUCAACGAGUCUAAAACCUGCUCUGAUAGGGGUGGGUAAUCUUUUGAAUGUGCAUCGUGAUUGGGAUAGAUGAUUGCAAUUUCUCAUCUUCAACGAGGAAUGCCUAGUAAACGCAAGUCAUCAGCUUGCAUUGAUUACGUCCCUGCCCUUUGUACACACCGCCCGUCGCUCCUACCGAUCGAAGAGUUAGGUGAAUUGUUUUGAUCGAUAAGAUUUGACUAUGGUCAACUCUCGUUGUGAAAUUCUGUGAAUCUGACUGUUUAGAGGAAGGAAAAGUCGUAACA